UACAGAUAUCAAGGCGCUAUGAUGAUGAUGAUGAAGAUUGUGGUAGUAUUUCUACUCGUGGCUGGAUUUCAUGCUCAAUCACCACUGGCACUACCACCAUGUAUUGAUGCCGGCAUUCCAGGAAUUUGUAAAAUUAUGGUGGACAUUUAUAAUGGAGACUGCCUAGGAACAUACGAAGAAGAUAUGGUAAAGAAUUGCCGUAAAAGUUGCCGUCUCUGCGAUAUAGAGUAAUAGCUAAGGGUGCUCAGUCUAAUGAUGCCGUGAUCACGUGAUACUUGCUCUAACUUGCAGUAGCGCGCGACUGCAGUACGCGUAGACACAUGGCUAUGUGAUCUCGUGAUACCUGAUGGUGGAGGGUACAAGGAUUACGUGAUAUAGAGACAAUAAUUAUAGAGACAAUUAUUAGAUAGAAACAAUUAUUCAUUGUUAUCUUAAUCAAUGGGCACAAUAAGUUGAUUUCUGUAAUCAUAGCUUACAAUCUUAAAAUGUGUUUAAAACGAUUCCGUAUUAUUACACUAUACUAUCUUACUAUAUAUAAAGCGAGACGAUAUAUAUAUAUAUAUCUGUGCCAUUUUACUGACACCACGGCAUCAACUUUAACGCGACUUUCCGCAAAAACCGUAAAAUAUAUACAACUGGAACUUUUUUGGCUGGGUCAAAUGCUUUAAUGGCCUUCAAAUCGGCAUGAAAAAAUAAAAAAUUGGCCAAGGAAUAAUGAUUUUAGAGCCGAAAAUUUGGGCCCCCAAGUGGUGUCAAAAACGCCGAUUAAAUAGGUAAUAAUUAUUUUAGUAUUUUGAGUCUUGACACCGUUUAGGGUUAAUUUAUACGGGUUCCUGCUAGUUCUUCUAAACUGUAACAAUUUUCCAUUUGAUGCUUUUAGCAUUUGCAUUUA